rnacentral:rRNA from 2 species
UGAACCGUUAUAACCGGCGAUUUCCGAAUGGGGAAACCCAGUGUGACUCGUCACACUAUCAUUAACUGAAUCCAUAGGUUAAUGAGGCGAACCGGGGGAACUGAAACAUCUAAGUACCCCGAGGAAAAGAAAUCAACCGAGAUUCCCCCAGUAGCGGCGAGCGAACGGGGAGGAGCCCAGAGCCUGAAUCAGCAUGUGUGUUAGUGGAAGCGUCUGGAAAGGCGCGCGAUACAGGGUGACAGCCCCGUACACAAAAGCGCAUGUGCUGUGAGCUCGAUGAGUAGGGCGGGACACGUGGUAUCCUGUCUGAAUAUGGGGGGACCAUCCUCCAAGGCUAAAUACUCCUGACUGACCGAUAGUGAACCAGUACCGUGAGGGAAAGGCGAAAAGAACCCCGGCGAGGGGAGUGAAAAAGAACCUGAAACCGU